rnacentral:rRNA from 1 species
GGACAGUGGCAGACGGGUGAGUAACGCGUGGGAAUUUACCCAUUGGUACGGAAUAACUCAGGGAAACUUGUGCUAAUACCGUAUAAGCCCUUCGGGGGAAAGAUUUAUCGCCAAUGGAUGAGCCCGCGUUAGAUUAGUUUGUUGGUGGGGUAAUGGCCUACCAAGACUACGAUCUAUAGCUGGUCUGAGAGGAUGAUCAGCCACACUGGGACUGAGACACGGCCCAG